AAGUUUAUGCACUAUAUGGCAGAAUGUAGUUUUCUAUAUUGAAAUGCUAAGUCAAUAAAGUUUUGCACUUUUGCCAUGAGUUUUCCAUAUUGUAAACCUUGGCAUAUGAUAUAUGUACUUUGGAAACAGAAAUCAAAUAGCUUCAAAUGACAUGCAUUUAUAUUGAUACAUUGAGUUAAUGAUACUUGGCCCUAGUAAACGUAAUAGGAGUCGAGGUUAGCUUAAGGGUAUGGCAUGCCAUAUAAACAUACAGAGUGCGCAGUACUGCUACCGAUACAUGAUCUAUAUUAGAGGUUACAUAUUUGGUACCUCAUAAGCAUGGCCACAAAGCC
rnacentral:lncRNA from 1 species